CAAAACAGCUGAGAUGAUACAGGCUUGCAGACUACAAAAACAAGGACUUGAAAGACAUUGCAGUGGCUAUUAAGUCUACAACUUUACCAUUGAAAGAUCAUCCUGUGUAAUUCAGUGGAGAGACAGCAAGAAAUCAGGAUCUCAGUACUCUAUCAGCAAGGACUGUGUUCUGAUGACAGCAUACACGAUCAAGUAACUGUCCUCACAAGGCUAUGGAACAAACAACUUCCUGCCACCAUUCUGGUUUGACCUCAUAGGCCUCUCUGCAGAUAAUGCAACCAAGUGAACAUGUACUGAGAUGUUUGUUACCUAGAGUGCCAUGAUCCAAUAAUAUUCUGCUUGUUUAAGCUGCCAGGUCUGUGGCAUAUACUUGUUAUUUCUAUGUUAUAUGUAUGGCAGACAAUAAGCCUACACCACUUACAUAGUCUGUCUGCCAUGGGAAGGAUGAAUGUUAUAAUGGGGAAAGUCACAUAUGGUCUUGUGUGAGUUUAUAUCUCUUUAAGCACUCUGUUGUAUCCACAUGUAACUAAUCAUCUCAUUUGAUGUAUGUCAUUGCAAACUGAAGUGAGAACUAAAAUGCAAAACCCACUGAGGAUUAGAACCACACUGAAGCUAAUUGCAGAAUCAUAGUUUUACUAAAACUUUGCAAGAGUGUUUGACUUUGAAUAUGAGGGUAAUAUCUUAUAAUGUUAACAGGAAAGAAAACCAUGAAAUAUUGCAGGCAAAAUCUUCUCUUGAUAUAGGUGGUUGUUCUCUACAAGACAAUGAAAAUAUCAUGGAAAAAUGAAAAAGGAAGCUAAAGGUUUUUUUUACAUUAAAAUAUUUCAGAACGUUCAUUAUUUCAUUGGCAAUAUAAAUUUUAAAGGCAAAAUAGUUCCUCAAAAGUAAGGUAAAUGCUGCUAAGUUAUGAUUUCCAAAAGACUUUUAAAUGCUUAAAAUAUAAAACCAAGGAAUUCUUUGAAAUGUGUAUAUAGAGACCCAUGUGAAAGAAAAAAAUUCCUAAAGUGAAGAUCACUUUGAUGCUAUGCAAGGAAAAUCCAGACAGAAACCUAUUCCAAUGGUUAUGACUAUCAGAGACAAUUAUUGUCUCGGAGUUCCCAGUUUCAUGGACAUUUUUAAAUAAAAUAUUUAUUGUAAAGAUUUAGUUAUGUUAUUGGAAAUCACACACACACACACACACACACACACACACACACACACACCCCAAGUGUUAGGCAAUAUCUUUCGCAGAUAUGGUAGUAACUUUAAUGGUCCAUAAAUGUAGAAGUAAUAAAAAUGUUAAGUGGAAAAAAAAACUGAUUGCAGAAACUUUUUCUGCAUAAGAUUAUAUCUGUAUGGACAGACAACAUCUUUAUGUGUUUUAAGCUUAUACUGAGACAAUCAUACUGCUCCAAGGAUGAUACAGAAACAUCUCAUGUGAAUUGUAGUUGUGAUGCCCACAUAGUGGGGAAGAGGAAUCCUUUCCAGUACAUAGCAGUUGAAAUUACACUCACAAUAUUGAAGAUUUGUGUUUGUUUGCUUUUCUCUGGAUUUGAAUACCUGGCAAAUGAAUACACAGGUAUAUGUCUUCAAACCUGGUUAACAAUAAAGGUUUCUGUUCUA